UCUGCACUAGGGCCUGUCCAAGAAGAAAUAAACCCAGAACCUCAGACCAUAUGAACAAACAGCCCUGGUAGAACCUGUAGGUCCUGGUAGGACCAACAUCGUUCUCUAUGCAAUGGCCACACCAGACCGGGUCCUGAGAGGACGGGUCCAUCUCCCUCAGAGCGGGAGCCCGCCUCCUCCACCUGCCGGGCCCGCAGGGGGCUGGAUAAGGACACGGUUGUAGCCGCCAAUUUGUAUUCACUCCUUGUCCACGGUGCUCCCCCACUGCCCCCACCCCCAGCCGACACAGAUUUCCAGUCUGGACAGCUACGACGCCCCACUCAGUUUUCCAGUCACAUCCCAGGAGCCCUAAAUACAUCCAGAUAAGGACGAACUAAUUCCUGUGCCCCAGCCCCCAGAGGCAUUCUCUUGAUCCCGUCUGGCACAUCAGAGGCCAUGGGAAGUGCUUUUGGAUCUCCCUACGCACUGCCAUCUGCCUUGGAGACCCCCUAGGCAGCCCCAUCUUUCCUCUGAGACCUGAGCCACCCGGGACCCCAACACCCCGGGGUGAUCGGCUACGGCCUGGGUGAAGCCUACCCACCCCAAGCGCACGGGUGUCCUCACAUCCUCACAGUAAGCCUGUGUCAGAUACCUCUCCGGGAUGCUAACUGUGACUACUGAGGUCUGGGCAGCACCCCAAGGAGGAGAUGAGCGGAAGUGUGCAGCCCUCUCCGGCUCGUUCGGCUCAGCCAGCCCAGCCAAGCAAACCUCGCCCAGGGCCCUGUCUCCUGGCUGAGGCUUCUCAUGGUCACCGGACCUCCAUUCCAUCACAAAUCCUUCGGCUCUCAUCUUCCAAACUCAUCCGGAAUGGAACCUCCUCUGACACCACCAUGGCCACCGCCCUGCCCUGAGCCACCGUGGUCUCUUGCCCGGGGAGACCCAGGUAGCCUCCUGACCGGCCUUCCUCCUCCCACUUCUUCCCCCACUGCCUCUUCUCCAUAGUGGGCCCUGUAAGCCCCAUCCCAUCAUCCCUCUGCUCAAAGCCCAGGGCUCCUGCUUCCCAGAGAGCAAAAGGCAAUGCCCUUAACAUAGCUUGCAAUGCCUUGCUCACACUGAACCCCACCCCAGAUCUCAGCUCAUUUCCAAGCUGAAAUCCUCCACCCUGGCUCUCUCCAUCCUCCUUCCUGGCUUGACUGUCUGGUCUUAGCACUUAACAAUACAUGCAUUCAGCUUGUUCUUCUUGUUGCGGGACUCCCACACCAGAAGAUGGAUUUUGUCUGUCUUGACCCCCCCAUGGUGUCUCUGGCAUGUAAGCCAGUGCUUGACACCGUUCAUUAUGUAGUGGUUGAAUAAAUGGAUGAGUGUGCCCAGGA